rnacentral:rRNA from 1 species
GUAGGGAAUAUUGGGCAAUGGUCGGAAGACUGACCCAGCCAUGCCGCGUGCAGGAAGACGGCCCUCUGGGUUGUAAACUGCUUUUAUCUGGGAAGAAAAAGGCCAUGCGUGGCAAAUUGCCGGUACCAGAUGAAUAAGCACCGGCUAACUCCGUGCCAGCAGCCGCGGUAAUACGGAGGGUGCGAGCGUUGUCCGGAUGUAUUGGGUUUAAAGGGUGCGUAGGCGGCGGAUUAAGGCAGCGGUGAAAGACUUCGGCUUAACCGGAGCAGUGCCGUUGAUACUGGUUGGCUUGAGUGUCGGAGGGGUACAUGGAAUUGAUGGUGUAGCGGUGAAAUGCAUAGAUACCAUCAGGAACACCGAUAGCGAAGGCAUUGUACUGGCCGACAACUGACGCUGAUGCACGAAAGUGUGGGGAUCGAACAGGAUUAGAAACCCUGGUAGUCC